UACAACCUACCCUUCAGAGGGGGACAACAGUUGGAAACGACUGCUAAUACCGCAUACGAUCUAACCUCGGCAUCGAGGAUGGACGAAAGGUGGCCUCUAUUUAUAAGCUAUCACUGAAGGAGGGGAUUGCGUCUGAUUAGCUAGUUGGAGGGGUAACGGCCCACCAAGGCGAUGAUCAGUAGCCGGUCUGAGAGGAUGAACGGCCACAUUGGGACUGAGACACGGCCCAG
rnacentral:rRNA from 1 species